GCGAGGACCGCGCAGAUGGGGCAAGUCUGCAGGGCCGAGGCGAGGUCGGUUUGCCGGCAGCGUGGAAGGGAGAGCAGCUGGGGAGAGGAAGGAGGGGCUGAAGGCUGUGGUGCGAUCGCGCGUUCCCUCGGCAGUCAGAGUCAUUGUCUUCUUCAGAGGCUCCUGAAGAGAGGGAUGUUCUUGUCUCAGGACAGAGACACAGCUGUCUAGAAGAAUCCUCUGUACUGCUUUCUGCAAGAAGAAACAACCAGCCACCAUUGAGUAACUUCCAAGCCUGUAGUUCUACCUUGGCAAGAGGGUAUAGAAAGCUAAGCGAGACAUCAUCCCUCAGCUAGAAAGUCUUCCUGUUGUGAGUAUGACUGAUGCUCAUCACUUGCUUAGAAACAUUACCCUUUGGAAACCUCCUCUGUCUGCUGUUUAACCUUGUCAUGAACUCUGGUCAGCACACAGGCUCCAGCCCUCCCCACUGUUUCCCCUCAGGUGCUGUGACGGGGGCCAGCAAAGCAGCCAUGGCUCUAUUAGGCUAGAGCUCUUCUCUUGGAGCCUCCUGUAAAAGACUUCUGAACUAGAGGAAAGGGGAGGUUUGAGAAGGAAGGAGAGCACUGCCUGCAGUCCUGGGAGGGAAGACAGAGGCUUCGGGCACUGUAGUCCAGACGUGUAUAUACCUUGGUUUUCAGUGUCUUGGUCCUCCUGCGAUGGCUCACUCAAGCUGUCUUCAGGACUCUGAAGUUCCUGACGAGCAGGCUCUUGGGAGCUCAGCAGCUUGCUGCUGGACAGAGUUUCUUCUUCCUGAAGAGUUAAGAAAUGCAUUAAAGAGUAAGAUUCAUGACACAACAAAAACAGGCAGGAAUUGUGAUUCAGUCCCCAGAUUUCUUCAUCCUCAGGAUUAGGACAUGAUGCACACUGGAACAGCUGGCUCCAAGACAAGCUGAAUUCCUGGGGAGUGGUCUGAGCCGGAGGUGGAAAUAAGUGCCCCGCAGGUCAGGAAGCCAGACCCCUCCUAAUUGUUCAAGACAGAGACUCCCAGGCUGAGAAGAUCCCUUCCUAGUUGCCAGGGGAUUUCUCAGGAGACACUCUGACAACCCACUAUGCGUCACGAGCCGAGAGAGGCUGUGUGUGCGGCAGCGCCCUCCCAGCAGUCCUGAGCGCCAACGCGCUGCCGCAAAGGAGAGCCACCACAUCCACCCAGCUCCUACUCACAGGUCUCCCCUCAACAGCUGUCUGAGUAGCAUCUUUUUCCUGAGAUGAGGUGCUUUGGCAUGUGGAACUAUCCAUGACCUUUGAGCUCUCCCAGGAGACCCCUGAAGUACGCAGAGGUCUUCUGUUCUUCUUCCCAUCAACUGAAGACUGAUUGGUCUGUUCAGUUCCUACAGGGAAAAGUAAGUAAAACUCCCAUUUGUGAAUGUUCUCCAUGGCAAAGAGUGUUGGCCACAGGGCUAAGUAAGAGUUUCCUGCUCUGAGAGCACAAAUGGAAGAGCCCAUGAACAAUGUUCACAAGAGGGUCUGCCUGAAUGAACGCCUCACAAAAGACAGCUGCUGCGAGUUAUGCAGAUUUUUAUCAUCAGCAAGCACGAAGGACGUGUUUCACAGCUGACAGCAGACACACUGAGUGCUAUUGACAUGACUGUAAAUCUGCAUGUACUGGGUAACCUGUGUUACUAUCAUGCAUUCCUUUCUAAAGCAGUGUCUUAGCUUGAGCUGUUCCGGGUGCCUGGGUGUCUCUUCUUUCCCAGCUGCUGCUGUUCUGGCUCAGCCUGCUGGGGGAGGCAUUUGAUCUCUUCAAGAGCCUCAAGCUUCUCCAUCCUCUGCACAAUCAUGGCAAGAAAUCUUCAGACAAAUAGAGAUGGCUGAAACAGAGCGCCUGCAGCUCUCUUGCCCAGACCACUCCCUGCUCAGCCACUGCCCUCGUCCCGCUCUGGGCUUCCUGGCUCCAGCGCCCCAAACAGCUUCCAGCUGCCUUUGCCAGGCUCCAAACACUGAUUGCACCACUCUUGGCACAAUCAGCUUCUUGUCCUGCCUCUUACCUAUCCCUCAUCGCCCUGUCUCCAUCUCUCAAAUUCUUUCUUUGCUCCCACAGCAGCCGCUCUCGCAGGCGAGAAAUGUCCCUCCCUUCUGGUAGUUCAGGUACAUCCUUUAAUUUUGCCAGCUGUCGUCGAAGCAUUUUCUGAAAGUUGUCAUCAGGUUUUAGCUCGCCUUUGCCACAAAAUGCUCUCAUGCACCUGCAUGCAGAGGCUUCAUGCUGGUCCCAAGCAGCACUCUGCUUCAGCCACAAACCAGGGGAGAAGAGAAGGGCUUCCCUCAUCACUCCAGGCACUUGGGGAUGACGUUCCUGCCUGUCCCCACCCCUGUGCCAUCUCAGCUCAGACCCAGGUAGUUGUUUCUAUACCAGAAUGCCCAGCCCACCAGCACAGCCCCCACUGCUUCUUCAGUUCACGCCUUGCCGAAAUAAAACAAGUAAAGCCCCAACCCUCUGCACCGGGAAGCGUGCCUGUGAGCCCUGAGCUGUACGUACUUGUUCUCGACGGUACGUUUUGUGCGCCUCUGUCCUGAGCGUGGCCAGAUACUGCCUGUAGUCGUUGAACUCCCGCCGAGUGCACACCACCUGCGGUGGGACGAGGGCAGAAAUCACCCAAGGCUUGUCACGCUCGCUACGCAGCCGGCCUUGCCAGCAAGAGCGCUAACGCAGCGGGAGCUGCUCCCCUGCACCCCCUGCCCUGCGCAGCGGCUGGGGGCUCUGCUCCCACCCCCGCAGCGGGCAGCAGCGCUCCUCGCUCCGCCGCCAGGCCACGCACCCGCUGCUCCGUCGGCGCCCAGGCAGCGCGGCACGGCCCUGGCAGAGCAGGCGUGGGACUUCCCCGAGCGGGCUUUGGGCUCCUGCUGCCCCCAGGCAAAGCAGCGCAGCAGCCCCGCGCCCUCCGCCCACAAGAGGCGGCUGCAGCAAGCGCUCUGGCAACCCUGCCUCCUGGAAACUCUUCUUCUCACCCCCAUAGCCAACCUACUUUGCCAUCCCUGGUGACGCAACCUCCUCUCUGCAGUCUCCGCAGGUUGUCUUUGCGGUUGUAGUAGGCCUGCAAAUGCGGGUCAUGCAGACCGUUGUACUCGUUGCUUAGUAAGCGGCAGUGUGGGUCGCCCAGAUUGAAAUAACCAGAUGGCUGGUGAAGCUGUAAAACGUAUCGUCCGCAGCAUGAGCAGGGUAGGAGGGAUCAGGAAAGAGACAAAGACACUUCAGAGCUUCCUCAGCCCAUAGGGUAGCUUCUUCAGCCUCUGAGGUUUAGAGUAAUUCCUGGCUCAGCACUUAGCUCAGCUCUGAAUUUUACCCAAAGGACAGAUUUUGCUACUUGAGAAAAAGCCUGGGGCCUACAGCUUCAGUCUUGGGGUCAUCUAUUGUUACUGUAUGCAAGUGAGGAGCUAUUUAUGGGGCCAUUUGAGAAGAUGUCCCAUUUCUCCACUAACAUUUACUUUUCCUUUUCUGCACCCAGUCUUGCAGUUCUAAGGAGCUCGCCAGAAAGUUUGCAUCUACCUAUGGUUUCUUUCCUUUGGCAAUUCACUGUGAUUGCAAAAUGAGGUUGUUGUCAGGAGAGCCACAAAACUGUACGUGUGAAAAUAGAAAGUGAGUUUGAAUAGCUGAUACCAGAAGUCUUUCCCAUCGCUGUGAAGUCCUAACAAAUAGCACAGCCACAGUGCAGGGCAGAGGAGGGUGGGGAGAAGGCAAGAGAAACCCCCCCCAAGCAGAAGAGGCAUGCAAGUCAAGCAGGAAGAAGUGCAGGAAAUCUCCGCACCAAAAACUUUUGUCCUGGUGUUUCAAAGUUAGCAAAUCUCUGCUCCGCUGUAAGCAGUCUCCUCAGGGUUAGGCAGUCCUAAGGAGCGCCUUGGCUAACUUUGCCUCCGAGUAGUAUCUGUAUUGGCAACAAUGUAUUGAGGCCCGGAAGAAAGAAGAGACUCCCUCUGUUUCCCUAGCAGAGAGGCCAUGGCAUUGGCAUAUACCCAAAGAACUGAAGCAGGAGAAAUUUUGACUCUCCUUGAUGAUGAUGGUGAGCCCUCCCAUUUCUUCUCCAGGCUGCUCAGUGUAUCUGGGCAAGCAGAGGCUGAAAAAGCAGGGACUUUUCCUACUCCUUUCUACUGCUUUUACCUUUUGCCCCAGCUUGCUCCGGUAGAAGACAGGGUUGGAGCCAGGCAGCAAAGGGAGUUUGACCCCCAGCGGCAUAUCCAGCAGCUCAGGACAUCCUGCUCCGAGCUGCUGUCUUCUGAGCCCGGGCUAGAAAGACAGAGACGCUCAUGGGCAUUUGGGCCACCAUCUCAAGAGCCUUCUUGCAGGGCGCUUACCGGAAAUGCUCUUUAAAGAGCCCAGACAAGGAGAGUGCAAAGAGUGGCCUAUUCCACAGCAGCUCUUUGCUUCAUCGCCUCCUUCCCCACAGCUCCAACGCCUGUAAACCAGCCCCCUGGGGUCCUUGCACAGCACCCCUCCUACCUGCUGAGCUCAAAUCCAGCACGGGCAGAGAGACAGGAGCCCCUGGGAGCCUGCACUGGCAUCCCUCUAGGCCUACCACUCUCACUUCCCUCCGCACUGCCCCAUGCCCCAGAGCAGCCCGCGCGGUCGCCGGCUCCCAAGCUGAGCCCUCUCCAUCCGUGCUCAGUGGCAAUGUGGAUCUCACCAAGGGAAAUAACCAGAUGGCUGGUGAAGCUGUAAAACAUAUUGUCCACAGCAUGAGCAGCGUAGGGGGAUGAGGAAAGAGACAAAGACACUUCCAAGCUUCUUCAGCACACAGGGUAGUGCUUUCAAGCCUCCAAGGUUUAGAGUUAUUCCUGGCUCAGCACUUAGCUCGGCUCUGGAUUCUCCCCAAAGGAAAGCUUUCUCUACUCUGGAGACUCUUCAGCCAAGAAAAAGCCCAGGCUCUGCAGCUUCAGUCUUAUGGCUAUCUACUGGUGCUGUAUGAACGUGUGGAGCUAUUUAGUGGGGCAUUUGAGAAGGCAGUCUGUUUCUCCACUAAAACAGGCUUGUCCAUUCCUUCAGCCAGUGUUGCAGCUGUAAGGAGCCCUGCAGGGCUGGGGGCAGGAAACAGAAGACCACCACCCCCUCUGCCCCGAAAGUCCUCAUCCUCGCCAAGCAGGAAGAAAUGCAAGAAAUUUCUACACCAGAAAUUCCAAGUUUGGGCUGAACUUUCCCAGUGAAGAUUUCAAGCCAGACAGUUCAAACUUAGCAAAUCCCCCAUCCACCAUAAAUAGUCUCCCCAGGGUCAGGCAGUCCUCAGGGACACCUGGACACCUCCAGGCAGUACCUGCGUUGGGGAAAAAGGUAUCGAAACCUGGCACAAAAAGAUACUUUGCAUGUUUCCCUAGCAGAGAAGGCCUGGCGUUUGUAAAUAUACAAAGAAGGAAAGCAGGAGAAGCUUUCAGUCUCCCCAAAGAGUCUUCCAGAGCCUGAAUUAACAUCUCUGGCGCUGCCAGGACACCUUCCCUGCCUUCGGACGCCUUGCCACCUGCUGCAUGCAGGGCACCCUUCCGGCACGUGCCCUUGCAUGGUGCCGCAAGCGAGGCUGGUGUUGGCUCUGGCAAGCACAUGCACAGGCAGAGACCAGCGGCGGGACACACUCCCCUGAUCUCUAGCCAGUAUCAGGCCCUGCUCUUUGCAACUCUUUCCUUUUCUCAGCGGCACGGAUCCUGGAGCUUGCUUUGCCCACCCAGCCCUGUCUCAUUUAAGGACUGCAGCUCCCACUCUACAGCAGGUUGCUGCACAGAUUUGUUGGAAUGAAUGUUUCUUUUCCAGGCUGCUCAAUGUAUCUGGACAAGGAGGCAGUGAAAAAGAAGGGCCUUUUCCUACUCCUUUCUACUGCUUUGACCUUUUUCCCCUUUUCCCCCAGCUCAGUCCAGGAGAAGACAGGGUGGGAGUCAGGCAGCAAAGGGAUUUUACCCCAAACUUGAUGUCCAGCACCUCAGGACAUCCUACUCCGAGCUGCUGUCUUCUGCGCCCAAGCUAGAAAGACAGAGACGCUCAUGGGCAUUUAGGCCAUGACCUCAAGAGCCUUCUAGCACAGCAGUUACCAUAAACGCUCUUUGAAGACCUCAGACAAGGACUGUGCACAUGGUGGCCUGUUCAGAAGCAGCUUUCUGCUUCAUUGCCUCCUUCCCUACAAUUCCAAUCUCUAUAAACCAAACCCAACCUCCAUUCACACCACCCAACCUGCCUGCUGAGCUGGAAUCCAGCAUGGGCAGAGAGACAGGACUCCUGGAGAGCCUCCACUGUCCUCACCCUAUUUCUGCUAGUUUCCUCUGCACUUCUGGAUGCCCCAGAGAAGGUCCGCAUGGCCGCUGGCUCCCAAGCUAAGCCCUCUGCAUCUGCUCAAUACUUUCCUUGCCCCUCUUCUCCUCUGUACUCAGCAGCCCAUUUAUAUGUUGGAUGCCAACAGCAAGACAGUGCUCCACAGCUCCUUUCAAGAGCUCUCCUGGAGCUGAGGCCUUCCGCUGGGACCAGACCUCUCGCUUCAGCGGCACCCAGCUCCAGCUGCCCCAGCUGGUCUCCCACUGAGUGGCACUACCAGGACAGUUGCGUGUUGCCACUUUCCUGUGCCACCACUCGGCUGCUGCCAGGCCAUCCCGGGGCCUGCCUGCAGCCCUCACCUGCCCUUGGCUUGCAGGAGAUUUCAAGACCAAGAACAACUGAGCUCUUGGCAAGUCUAUGCCAGGGCUUCCACUGAGCUCUUGGCCUUUCCUAAGCACCAACCACAGCAUCUGAGCCAGUAAAUGCAUGGUCACAGACAUAUCCAGGGAGUGCUUCCGACCAGGACACUGCUCUGGUUCGCUCCAUGCUGCCCCAUACAUCCCCUUCCCCUCCUUUGCCUUUUUCUGAGGGGCUCAGUAGAGUCACAGGAGGGUCCCAGAGUUUCCCAAAAUACACCCAGAGGGCCCUUAGGUCCCAGUUUAUUUUUCUGCUGCUGAAUUGGUCUCAGCUCUGCAGUGUCUGUCAUAUCACAGCUCCUCUGCCUGUGCAUUCACUUCUUUCCUUGUGUCCAAGCUGGGAACUGGAAGGCCAUCUUGCCUCUUGUGUGUGCUCUUGAGCCAACGGUCUCUUGGGAGGAACUUCUCAGGAAUUGUCUGGGCAGAUAGGUGUUGUAUUGUCAUCCUUUUGCUCACCCUCCCCUUCCAGAACCUGGCCUGGGGAGAAAGGUGGUGUGUGGUGGUAGUGCUUGUCGAAGCUGUGUUGGUUAGUGUACUCUUUCACUGCUGCUUUUGCUCAGACUUCUUGUGGUUCAUCCAUUCCAGUAUCAUGUGUUGGGCAGAGGCUGACGUCAGAUGCUGUGGCAACAAUAACAGUCUUUAGCAUCCACAGCUCUGAUCCUGUGUUGCACUUUCUUUCUCAUCCUUUUGAAGCAAGGACCUCCUCCUUUGCAGAGCCCAUCUCCAUACAGGACCUCUGUGGAUCUAGUGCCCCCAGCCAGUCUAAGUAAGAGGUAUUGAACAGGAGGCUUGUGUUUUACAAUGGCAUAGCUCUGUCUGUGGGGUACGGGACAGAGGCUGGGCAUACUAGUCCUGUAGUGUUUGCUGGCUUUGGCCAGGCCUGGGAAGCUGUUUCUUUGGUGGGAUGAUACAGAGGCAGCAGUAGGUAGGCAGUGGGAUUUUGUGGCCGUGCUGCUGCGGGGAUGGAGAAAUCUCGUGCUGGCCAGGUGAAAGUGCAGCCAACAGAUGCAGCAGUUUGCGCAGCAGUUUCUGGGCUCUGCUUAGAUCUCCUGAGAAGCUUGUUGGAGAUCGUGGGGGAUUUCUGGGAAUGCUGUGAAGGACUAGAGAGUACCUGCUGCUGACAGCAAAGGAGAGCUGGCUAAGGACAGCUACAGGAGGCCUUACCUUCUCCUGGGAAGCUCUAGCAAAGAUUGGCAGCCACCUGACAUCCUACACCUAAGCACAGCCUCUCCCACGGAACUUCUUGGAGAUGAUGUUUGUCUCUGAGGGACACUGUGACCCCAGCUAGCACACCAGCAGCACGCCUAAGAGCACAGAGUUAUCACCGUCUGCCCCAGGGCUGCUCGCAGGCAGUGCCACAGGCGUUUCCUUGCUCGGAUCUCCGCCAAAGCUCGCAUGGAGCAGAGGACUCCACUUAUCAGCUGUUGGAGAGGCCUCUGCAGGGGCCUCUGUGAGCUGCUGAACACAUCCUUAUAGCAGCGAUUCCUAAUCUGUGCUCAGGCUGCGGACACGGCAGCCUCCCACCGGGGUCCGGAGCGGCUGUCUGACCGCCGGGCGUGCUGCUCUCCGACGGCUCCCGCACGUCACCCUGCCCCGGCAGGGAAAGGAGGUGCAACCCCUCUCCCUCCGUGGCUCCCCGGCCCCUCCAAACAGGGCUGCAGCCGGGGGCUUCGCCACAGCACGAGUCACCAUGGGCCCACAGGGAUGGCCAAAGAGCCGGAGUCCUCGCGCAAAGGGCAGCUCGCUGCAGCUGGGGUCUGGCUGCAACGACACCACAACCAGCAGGGUCCGAUCCUGACCGAGCCACUUUAGGUCCUGCCGAAAUAAUUAUGUGCAAGUUAGGUGGAGGGACAGGGAGCAACCACCAACCGGAGAGAGAGGCGGGAGAAGCAACAGGCAGGCAGGCGGUGGUACCGUGGUGGGAGUGAUGAAGCAGCUCCACCGGCUGCGAGCUGGCUUCCAGCGCCCCUCCCCAGUGAAGAGACAGGCAUUUGCACAGCUCACGUCUGAUUCUUCCACGGAGAACAGAGCCCGACCUCAGCGAGAGGAAAGGUAGCACAGCAGCGACAGUGCCGGCCCAGGGUUUUGGAGCCAAGUGACCAUACCCAAAACACGUCUCAAGACAGGACACUUAGCCCUCACCCCAACCCUACCAGGGCAGCUCUAGAUGCGCAGGUCUCAAGGAGCAAACAGACCUGCUCUUCAGCAUGGUGAGGGGGCAGCAAAAACCAGUGGGACCCACACCUGGCUACCGCGUGCGACUGAGGGCCGGAGCUGCUGCCCAGGGCAGGGAGCAGGGCCGUGCCCAGGUCUCAGCAAGCUCAUGACAUGGCUGAUGUGUGCAGCCAGGCCCAGGAGCCUGGAGUUGCCCCAGUGCCCUUGACCUACCCACAGUGCCUGUGCGUUCCCAGAUGCAGUAUCAGCCCCUGAGCUCCAACCGUGUCCCCGGAGCAGCCCGAUGUGAAAAGCAACGCCAGCCUCAGCCACCUCCACUCACACAGCACAAAGCACAGCUGUUGUUUGCACCAGAAACCAAGGGGAGGCAUUUCUUCAGCACUGUGCAGACGUCGUAGCUUCAGCAUAACGGCCCGCUGCCUCGCACCCUCGCCCAGGAAGGGGGAAACGGGGGCCAGGCCUGCGUCAGCCAGAGCAGGCUGAGUCAGCAACAACCCUAGGGCUGCCCGGCAGCAGCCCCAUCCCACCCCUGGGGCCACCACCGAGAGAACAAUAUACGGUUGAUGAGGCUGGAAGGAGAGAAGCAAGAGGCACUUCUGUGGCCUCAGCCCUGGGGCACUCAGGCAUUUUGCAGUGAAGAGUCCUCAGAGAACAUGAGCUGCCCUGAGGGCUGGGAGCAGGACUCCUGGGGCCAGGCUGUCUGAGCACUUCUGCUCCACAGAGAGCUGUAAGACCUAAGCUGCUUUCACACUUCCCUUGGUACCUGCUUCUGUGGUAAAGUCUGAGGUUAAACCACAAGAAAUGUAUUACUUUUUAACGGGAAAGUGUCACCACCCCAGUUAAGAAGGAGCAAUGCCUUCCCUCUGCAACAGUGGUGGUCACCUUCAGAGCUGCGUGACCAGCUGUAAUGCUUUAUAGCUCCCAUUUCAGAUUACUGCUGCUUGUUUUCCACAUAGUUUUUCACUGCAAAAAUAAAGUUUUAACUGAACCAA